CCUACGGGAGGCAGCAGUGGGGAAUAUUGGACAAUGGGCGAAAGCCUGAUCCAGCAAUGCCGCGUGAGUGAUGAAGGCCUUCGGGUCGUAAAGCUCUUUUACCAGGGAUGAUAAUGACAGUACCUGGAGAAUAAGCUCCGGCUAACUCCGUGCCAGCAGCCGCGGUAAUACGGAGGGAGCUAGCGUUGUUCGGAAUUACUGGGCGUAAAGAGUACGUAGGCGGUUAUUCAAGUCAGAGGUGAAAGCCCGGGGCUCAACCCCGGAACUGCCUUUGAAACUAGAUAACUAGAGUCUUGGAGAGGUUAGUGGAAUUCCGAGUGUAGAGGUGAAAUUCGUAGAUAUUCGGAAGAACACCAGUGGCGAAGGCGACUAACUGGACAAGUACUGACGCUGAGGUACGAAAGCGUGGGGAGCAAACAGGAUUAGAUACCCUGGUAGUCCACGCCGUAAACGAUGAUAACUAGUUGUUCGGUCACUUGGUGACUGAGUGACGCAGCUAACGCAUUAAGUUAUCCGCCUGGGGAGUACGGUCGCAAGAUUAAAACUCAAAAGGAAUUGACGG
rnacentral:rRNA from 1 species